rnacentral:rRNA from 1 species
AACGAACGCUGGCGGCAUGCCUAACACAUGCAAGUCGAACGAAGUCUUCGGACUUAGUGGCGCACGGGUGCGUAACGCGUGGGAAUCUGCCCUUGGGUGCGGAAUAACUUCUCGAAAGGGAUGCUAAUACCGCAUAAUGUCGUAAGACCAAAGAUUUAUCGCCCAAGGAUGAGCCCGCGUAAGAUUAGCUAGUUGGUGGGGUAAAAGCCUACCAAGGCGACGAUCUUUAGCUGGUCUGAGAGGAUGAUCAGCCACACUGGGACUGAGACACGGCCCAGACUCCUACGGGAGGCAACAGUGGGGAAUAUUGGACAAUGGGCGAAAGCCUGAUCCAGCAAUGCCGCGUGAGUGAUGAAGGCCCUAGGGUUGU